AUUGAACGCUGGCGGCAGGCUUAACACAUGCAAGUCGAGCGGGGUGAUGGUGCUUGCACUAUCACUUAGCGGCGGACGGGUGAGUAAUGCUUAGGAAUCUGCCUAUUAGUGGGGGACAACAUCUCGAAAGGGAUGCUAAUACCGCAUACGUCCUACGGGAGAAAGCAGGGGAUCACUUGUGACCUUGCGCUAAUAGAUGAGCCUAAGUCGGAUUAGCUAGUUGGUGGGGUAAAGGCCUACCAAGGCGACGAUCUGUAGCGGGUCGGGGAGGAUGAUACGCCACACUGGGACUGAGACACGGCCCAGACUCCUACGGGAGGCAGCAGUGGGGAAUAUUGGACAAUGGGGGGAACCCUGAUCCAGCCAUGCCGCGUGUGUGAAGAAGGCCUUAUGGUUGUAAAGCACUUUAAGCGAGGAGGAGGCUCUUUUGGUUAAUACCCAAGAUGAGUGGACGUUACUCGCAGAAUAAGCACCGGCUAACUCUGUGCCAGCCGCCGCGGUAA
rnacentral:rRNA from 1 species